UGCUUGCGGAUUCCACGGAGACAAUCCAC
rnacentral:sRNA from 1 species